GACGAACGCUGGCGGCGUGCUUAACACAUGCAAGUCGAACGGAAAGGCCCUGCUUUUGUGGGGUGCUCGAGUGGCGAACGGGUGAGUAACACGUGAGUAACCUGCCCUUGACUUUGGGAUAACUUCAGGAAACUGGGGCUAAUACCGGAUAGGAGCUCCUGCUGCAUGGUGGGGGUUGGAAAGUUUCGGCGGUUGGGGAUGGACUCGCGGCUUAUCAGCUUGUUGGUGGGGUAGUGGCUUACCAAGGCUUUGACGGGUAGCCGGCCUGAGAGGGUGACCGGCCACAUUGGGACUGAGAGACGGCCCAGACUCCUACGGGAGGCAGCAGGGGGGAAUAUUGCACAAUGGGCGGGAGCCUGAUGCAGCAACGCCGCGUGCGGGAUGACGGCCUUCGGGUUGUAAACCGCUUCCGCCUGUGACGAAGCGUGAGUGACGGUAAUGGGUAAAGAAGCACCGGCUAACUACGUG
rnacentral:rRNA from 1 species